CAAUCCAUAUCAUUCUUGUUCUUUCUUUUAUUAGAGAGACGUCUUCUUCCUUUCUUUGUCUAAUAUCUUCUUCUUCCUUUCUUUGUCUACUAUUCAAUAUUCAUAAUAUAUUAUCAUUUAUUCUUCUUUCUUUGAUUCUUUCAUUCCUGAAGAGACAUAUCUUUCUUCUUCUUCUUUCUUUCUUUAUGAUUUAUGUUUAUCUUCUUAAUUCUUUCUACUAAAUUCAGUCAACAACUGGAUAUUUUGGAAUUGAAAUCAAGGACUCAAAGUCUUCAAAUUUCUUGAUUCAGUUAGUUAUCGGACAUUGUGUCACGGGGUGAGCUAUAAACAAGCUCAGUCUUGAAGAACCAGAAUAGGGAAGGAGAAGAAUAGGGAAGGAGAGGGAAAGAAGAAGAAGGUAGAGAAAAAUUGGCUAAUAUUUUUUAUAUCUGUAAAAUGGGUACAUAUGCAAGCUAAAUAGGAAUCCAGCAUUGAAUUCUAAUCUAACAGCCUAUUACAUUAGUGA